rnacentral:snRNA from 1 species
UUCAGACAUCAAAAGCGU